rnacentral:rRNA from 1 species
AUUGAACGCUGGCGGCAUGCCUAACACAUGCAAGUCGAGCGAAGCGGCGGACGGGUGAGUAAUACCUACGUAUCUGCCCUGCAUUUGGGGAUAACGUACCGAAACGGGCGCUAAUCCCGCAUACCUCCAGAUGAGCCUUGGAUGGAUUUGCUAGCUGGUGGGGUAAAGGCGUACCAAGGCGGCGUUCCAUAACUGGUCUGCGAGGCUGAUCAGUCACACUGGAACUGAGACACGGUCCAGACUCCUACGGGAGGCAGCAGUGGGGAAUAUUGGACAAUGGGCGAAAGCCUGAUGCAGCCAUGCCGCGUGUGUGAAGAAGGUCUUCGGAUUGUAAAGCACUUUAAGUUGGGAGGCGUUACCAACAGAAGAAGCACCGGCUAACUUCGUGCCAGCCGCCGCGGUAAUUC